UGCACUUUUUGGUAAGAAGAUGUUAACAAAAGUUGUUCGUCAUGAUGAGGGCUACAACUUUGCUUAAUAUCCUUUUAACAAAUUAUGCGUAUUUAAGGAGAUAGGGCUGCGCAUGCGCAGAACGUAUCUCCUUACCUUUGCACUUUUUGGUAAGAAGAUGUUAAUAAAAGUUGUUCGUGUUGAUGAGGGCUACAACUUUGCUUAAUAUCCUUUUAACAAAUUAUGCG